rnacentral:tRNA from 1 species
AAGGAUUUAAGUUAAGUCAAAAACUAUUAACCUUCAAAGUUAAAAAUAAAAGUGCAAAUUUAAGCCUUA